AGAGCUAAAAAAACAACUUAAGGACAAAGAGGAGGAGCACUCACGCGAUCAAGCUGAGAUCCAGUCUCUGAAGAAUCAGCUCAACCACACAGCGGAUCAGUGCAGUAACGAGCAGAAUGUUAAAGAUCUGCAGAAUAAGCUGGAUACCAAAAUAGAGGACCUGCAGUCAAACUCUAACUCCGUUACUUCACUUGCUCUUCAAGUUUCCACGUUAACCCUACAGGUGGAGGAGCUGAAGAGACAACUACAGAACACUGAAUCGCAAAGCAAGAUUGCAGAAAUUCAAAAAUCGAUUAGUGCGAAAACGGUUGAGCUUGCCAAAAAAAAGGAAGCGUUGAAAGAAGGAAGUGCUCAACC